AGUGAACGCUGGCGGUAGGCCUAACACAUGCAAGUCGAACGGCAGCACAGUAAGAGCUUGCUCUUACGGGUGGCGAGUGGCGGACGGGUGAGGAAUACAUCGGAAUCUACUUUUUCGUGGGGGAUAACGUAGGGAAACUUACGCUAAUACCGCAUACGACCUACGGGUGAAAGCAGGGGAUCUUCGGACCUUGCGCGACUGAAUGAGCCGAUGUCGGAUUAGCUAGUUGGCGGGGUAAAGGCCCACCAAGGCGACGAUCCGUAGCUGGUCUGGGGGGAUGAUCGGCGACACUAGAACUGAGGCACGGUCCAGACUCCUACGGGAGGCAGCAGUGGGGAAUAUUGGACAAUGGGCGCAAGCCUGAUCCAGCCAUACCGCGUGGGUGAAGAAGGCCUUCGGGUUGUAAAGCCCUUUUGUUGGGAAAGAAAAGCAGCAGGUUAAUACCCCGCUGUUCUGACGGUACCCAAAGAAUAAGCACCGGCUAACUUCGUG
rnacentral:rRNA from 1 species